GAGUUUGAUCUUGGCUCAGAGCGAACGCUGGCGGCAGGCCUAACACAUGCAAGUCGAACGAUCCUUCGGGAUAGUGGCGGACGGGUGAGUAACACGUGGGAACGUACCUUUAGGUUCGGGAUAACUCAGGGAAACUUGAGCUAAUACCGGAUAAGCCCUUUUGGGGAAAGAUUUAUCGCCUUUAGAGCGGCCCGCGUUAGAUUAGCUAGUGUGGGUAAGCCACAGGCUCCGAUCUAUAGCUGGUCUGAGAGGACU
rnacentral:rRNA from 1 species